rnacentral:rRNA from 1 species
UACGUAGGGUGCAAGCGUUGUCCGGAAUUAUUGGGCGUAAAGAGCUCGUAGGCGGUUUGUCACGUCGGAGGUGAAAGCCCGGGGCUUAACCCCGGGUCUGCAUUCGAUACGGGCUGACUAGAGUUCGGCAGGGGAGACUGGAAUUCCUGGUGUAGCGGUGAAAUGCGCAGAUAUCAGGAGGAACACCGGUGGCGAAGGCGGGUCUCUGGGCCGAUACUGACGCUGAGGAGCGAAAGCGUGGGGAGCGAACAGG